rnacentral:tRNA from 1 species
GCCCCACUAGCUCAUUUGGUAGGGUAUGAGAUUCUUAAUCUCAGGGUUGUGGGUUCUAGUCCCAUGUUGUAUG